rnacentral:rRNA from 1 species
UACGUAGGGUGCAAGCGUUGUCCGGAAUUAUUGGGCGUAAAGAGCUCGUAGGCGGUCUGUUGCGUCGGCUGUGAAAACCCGAGGCUCAACCUCGGGCCUGCAGCCGAUACGGGCAGACUAGAGUUCGGCAGGGGAGACUGGAAUUCCAGGUGUAGCGGUGAAAUGCGUAGAUAUCUGGAGGAACACCGGUGGCGAAGGCGGCGUUCUGGACUGCAACUGACACUGAGGAACGAAAGCCAGGGGAGCAAACGGG